rnacentral:sRNA from 1 species
CACUGAGCCAUGUCUCCACGCAGAUGAGGGCGAGAACACGGUGGCCGUCUCGGAGACUGACUACAGGCUGUUCAUCACCUUCCACCUCCAGAACUUCAGGAACGGGACCGAGACCCACACGCUGGCGCUCUACGCACGGGUCCCACAGCUGGAACCCUCCUUCCUGAGCAGAUUUGAAGAAACCUGCAAAAAGUACGGACUUGGCUCAAAAAAUAUCGUCGAUUUGACCAACAAAGAUCCCUGCUACUCCAAGCGUUAGAGGAGCCCGCCAAGGCCUCCCAUGUGUGAGCUGUGACUCGGGACGGGCAGGGGGCUGGAUGGGGAGAGCUUGGGGCCAACAUCAGAGGCUGGGGGUCCCAGCCCAGGAGGUGCCCACCCCUCCCCCCAGUCUGGGAACCAAACACAAGGUGCUUGGUGAAAGAUGCUGUGAAAAGCAUCCUGGAGUCGGGGCAGUGAUGAGGCCUUCCAGGGUGGUAGGGUCUGAGCAGAAAGCGAGAUGGGGUCCUGUGUGAGUCUCCAGAGGCUGAUGUCUCCACAUGCAGGUGACUAGGACAACCAGGAUUUACUUUCUCACAGCCUGGAGCCCGAGGUCUGAAACCCGAGGUCCGCAGGGCUGUGCUCCCUCCACCGGCUCCCGGGAAGGGUCCUUCCCACCACUUCCAGCUGCUGGGGGCUCCAGGCACCCCUGGCUUGUGGCUGUGUCACUCCAGCCUCUGCCUCCAUCUGUGUCUCCUUUUCUGUCUCUUCUAAGGACACUUGUCAUUGGAUUUAGGGCCCAUCUUCAUCCAGAAUGAUCUCCUC